GACAGAGUAGGAACAGCGCGUCAAGUGCGCCGGGAUGGGAAGUUGUCCGGCGACGAAGGGGCUGCGCGCCCCGCGGUGCUGUUGCCGCUUCCGCUGCC
rfam:Firmicutes bacterium CAG:103 genomic scaffold, scf209